UCUUUAUAAUUUUAGUUUUAAUUAAAUUUUAGAAUUUAUUAUUAUUUAAUACAAAAAUUAUUAUAUUGGGGUAAUAUAAAGAUUUAAGUAAUUCUUUAUUUAUUUAUACAUUAAUUUAUGGUUAUUUGAUCCAAUAUUAUUGAUUAUAAGAUUAAGU
rnacentral:rRNA from 1 species